rnacentral:rRNA from 1 species
GACGAACGCUGGCGGCGUGCUUAACACAUGCAAGUCGAACGGAAAGGCCCUGCUUUUGUGGGGUGCUCGAGUGGCGAACGGGUGAGUAACACGUGAGUAACCUGCCCUUGACUUUGGGAUAACUUCAGGAAACUGGGGCUAAUACCGGAUAGGAGCUCCUGCUGCAUGGUGGGGGUUGGAAAGUUUCGGCGGUUGGGGAUGGACUCGCGGCUUAUCAGCUUGUUGGUGGGGGAGUGGCUUACCAAGGCUUUGACGGGUAGCCGGCCUGAGAGGGUGACCGGCCACAUUGGGACUGAGAUACGGCCCAGACUCCUACGGGAGGCAGCAGUGGGGAAUAUUGCCCAAUGGGCGGAAGCCUGAUGCAGCAACGCCGCGUGCGGGAUGACGGCCUUCGGGUUGUAAACCGCUUUCGCCUGUGACGAAGCGUGAGUGACGGUAAUGGGUAAAGAAGCACCGGCUAACUACGUG